UGACACUUGCUUCCCAUUUCAUCAGUACUAGUACGAGUCAACAAUAAGUUCAGAAUUUGCGUGGCUUACAUCGUUGAAUGGUCUGUAUUCUUUUCACCAUCACCAUUGUUUUAUCCAUUUCUUUUCGAACUUGCCUGGCUUACAUCAUUGAACGGGUUGUUGGUGGAUAUGUACUAAUGAAGAAACAAAAGUAACACAAUACACAUGAACCGAUAACAAACUUACACAGGACCUAACAACAAGAACAGGCAUGAACUAACAACGAUAACAAAUUUGCAGGCGGACUGACAACAAGAACACAGAUGAACUUAAAACAAAAAUGUAAAUGGUGACCAACUCAGAGGCAUACUGUAGCACGCAGGAGCGGCAACCAAUUAGUCAACUCAUCAAGGCCACCAAUACGCAGGAGAGCAUGGUGUGGGAAACAAUAAUGGGAGGCUACGUGUGGUCGUGGAUGCAUUGUGGGGGUUGAGCGACAACUGUGGUUGAUGGCAAGCUGGAACGACAAGAACGGGCAGCUUGAGAACAAGUGGGCGGUGCGCGACAUCUCACUUUAGAUGCGCCUGUUGGACUGAUUUCCUUCUCCCAUCUGGACGUAUCAAUUGCAGAACUUUCUAUUAGAAACAUUAAAGAUACAAAAUAGUCGUGUGCUCAAACUUGAAGUAAGAUAUGAUUUCAUGUCCUUAUCCAUUAAUAAAAUCAUACUAUGUACAUUUGUAGAAUACUUGCUCUCAGUACUAGUCAUUCUACUUAGUUAUCCAAAACAGUUGUGAAUGCUACAUCCAUUUUUCUCAAUAAAAUGUAACAUAUAAGUUUGAUACAGACAGAAAUAUGCACCAAAAGAUAUACCCAAAAUUCAAGUUCACAACAUCGGAAGAAACAAAUAAUUUGAUGCCAACCUAAGUGAGCACUGAAAGAUGCAAAGAAGAGGCUUUUUUGAGACAUUGACUUUGGUACAUGUUUUUCUCUACAAAUUGAUAAACCAAGAGCAGUACAGAUGCUCAUUUCUCAUGCUUAACCACAAGCACACGUUUGUUCUAUACGAAGCUGGAAACAUAAAACAGAAAUUGGACUUACAAUGAGGAAGUAGAUGUACUAAAAGUUGAAGCUUUGGAUCCUCAUGACGAACUGGACCAUACUGGAGUUUUGAAUGGUGGUGAAGCUUCACAUCCUUCAUCGUCACUCCUGCCAUGAGCCAAAAUCACAAACUUCAAAAUUACGAACUUCGUCUACUUUAUUUUUUCUUUCAAAAUUUUGCUUGUUUUCUAAACGUCCAACAAGAAUAAUGUAGAUCCUCCAAUUUCACCCUUUUUGUAACUGCUACAUCUGGUUUUGGCUGCAUCCUGAAAAAAUAAAAAUCUAAGAGAUGAGAUACCAGCAUGUGUAAUGAUUCUUGUGCAGAAUAUGGAAACACAAAGAUGAUCAGACUUUUGAUUGGAAAGUAGAUGAGCUGAAAAGCAUCCAAACUACGAACUGAAAACAUUGAAGCUCUGGAACACCCAACAUGGGGCAACAGUGACUGGCGGGGUAGCACUGGAACCCAGCAGUAGAGACAGCCGCUGCAUCGGCCAUGAGCGGCUCGCCACACACAUCUGCUCCAUGCGUUUGUCUCCUUGCUCGCCAUAGUACACUAGCCGCCUACUCACUGUCACCGGUCGGGCCUUGCACAUACCAGUAACCAAUUAACCACGCACUACAACACACCUAGGACUGUAUCUUUGGCACACUUUGAACUGAUGGGUAAUUUUGUGUAUUUUUAUUACUGCACAUGAAGUUAAAGUAACACCAAAACUAGCAACUCUAUUAGCUUCAUCUUUUAGAAGUGCACAAGAAGGUAGAAGAAGAUUGAAACUAGCAACUGUAAUACUUCAUCUUUAGAAGUUAGGGCACAUGAAGGUAAAAGAAGACUGACGAGCUAGUAAAUGUAACAUUGUAAAAAACUAUGAGAUGCAUAACCACACAACAAAAACUAAGAGCAUGCAUGGAAACUCAAACUAUAUGGUUUUGUAGGUAGCAUAGCAUGGUCGCUCAGACCAAAAUCAAACACAGUGGUCAGCUAUAUGAUGUUUCUAUGACCAUGUUGUACCUACGACAGAGCAAUAACAUCACAUCAUGAGAGAAAGGAUGCAACAUGAACAGUUCAGGAGAUAGAACGGGUAGAGAAGAAGUAAAUAUGUUUUGAGGAGAUGAACUGACCAGGAUUUAAAUGAACUCUCACAAGCAGUAUUUUUUAUACUUCUUAUGUAGUAAUACAUGGACUUGCUGUCAAACAAUUCAGGUAGUUGAACUGGCCACACCGCUGCACCAUGUUGCCCAGCUCCUUCUCGACGGCCUGCUUAUUGUGAUCGCCGACGAGCACCCUGGGCUUCACCAUGAACCUGGUUAAAAGAUAUAUGGGACUGGACCCUGUAGAUUUAAAUGAACUCUCACUAGAAGUAAUUUUUGUACUUCCCAUGUAGUACUACAUGGACUUGCUGUAAAAUGCAUGGACCAUGUAAUAAUUUGGAAGUUAAUUAUAUUAUCAUCUCAAGGAGCUCAAGUUGGACUGAAACUCACUUGAUAACUGAAACUACUAGGGCGAGGGGCAGGAUCCAUGGUGCUGCUAGCAAUGAACGGCCUGGGGUGGUGGCAUUGAAUGGCUUGGAAUGGUGGUUGUGAACGUCAAGGGUGCUCCGGCAGCAGAGCCCCACUGGGAGAUGGCAAUGCAAUCAGAACUUCAGAGACAAUUUUACAAAGUUACAGCUGCAAGCUAGCAAGGAUAUUGUAGAUUUUUGUUUGGCACUAUGGUCAUGGAGUCAAAUAAGAUCAAACAUGCCAGGCAUAUAAAAUUUGUUGUUUGAUGUUACCAUGAGCAGUGGUUACAUAGUAAAUUCAAAAAAAAACAUGGCAGGAACAUCAUGGAUAGCAGUAAAUGGCAAUUCACUUGGAAGCAUCUGGUACAAAAAAUGUACUAGCAACGACAAAUUCAUUUGCAAGCAACCGCUAUAUAUGCGUGAUUCCAAAAUUGUUCCCCAACCUGUUGCAACAUCACUACUUGAACUGGUGUGAGUCCAAACCUAGACGGACGGGACAGGAGGGAGACGGUCGAGCACGAUGAUCACUGAUCAAUUCACAUAGGAACAUGAACAAAGUGCAUACGGUGGAACAUACUGCAAUUUGUGAGGUUCUUCUCAUCCAAGCUUCAAGAAAGAACAAAAUAAAGAUACAAAAUUGGACCAUAUGGCAAAUCAUUUGAGAGAGAGAGAGAGAGAGAGAGAGGUUCCCUGCACCUGGCUUUUUGAUUUUUGAGGUUCUUCUCACUCUGAUUGCUUUUUCAUUUCUUUGCUUCCUCUCAUAGAAUGGCAAAAUGCAGUGUAACCGUAUUAGCUAGGAACUAACACAUAGAAAGAAAGAUCUACUGACCAGGGGGGCUAGCUCAUUCUGGUACUAUUUUACCCGACGCAUAAGCAGAAAAGAAAUUCCAGAGAAAAAAGGUUCAGAAAGAGAUGUGAUAGCUUCUGUGACCCACCUGCGGGAAAGAGGUAGAAGUUCAGAAGCAUAACAACAAGUUCUACUUCAUUCAACAAAAAGAAAAUCCAUUUAUACUCCUGUAUACACCCAACAAGCAUCAAAUUCCAUAUACCUGAACUUUCAUUUAUUGAUAUACUUGAACUUAUUUGCUGUUAAUGUACAUGGACUUUGUAAUUAAACAUAGAAACUGAGAGAGAUAGCAGUCUUUGAACUGAAACAAAAUUAGGAAUUGAAUUGGACUAAAUCAAGAAAUUGAAC
rnacentral:lncRNA from 1 species